CUGCUUGGCUCUGCAUCUGCAAAUAUUGCCACCCGGCUGCAACGCCACUGAUCAUCGCUCACAGCUUUGCAAUCUGCUCUGGUCUGUGAUGGGCCUGCAAAUGUUAGCAUAUGUUUGUCAGAGAUAAUCAGGCCACCUGUGUGCACGGUGGCUCUGUCGUCUCUUGUUGGAGGGCUUUCCACCUUCCUCUUGGCAUGCGGUGCCUUUUCCACUGUCUCUAGAAAUAACUGACUUGUCUUGGUCGUUUUCUGCGUCUGUUUGCCGUGGUGCUGCCCAGCAGCCCUGCCACCACCCCAAGGCGCUGACCUAAAGGAAUGCUCUUCUUUCUCUCUUCUGUUUCUAUCACACAGCUUCUCUAGAUUUGCUCGUUGCUCUUCUUGCUCUCCUAUGCUGCUCACCUGGUGGCUUUUUCCCCCUUCCUUCUGCACGUUCACAAUAUGUUAUCUGUGUGGGUAGGAAGUGGUCUGAGCUGCAGCUCCUCUGCAUCUGCACGUCCCAAAGCUGCUUCUGCAAACCAUUUGGGGUUUUGGUUCUGUCCCACCAUGGCUUGCUGCCACUCUGGUCUCCCCAACAGGAACUUCAGGCUGGCGGUGUCCCCUGUGUCCCGCUCCCAACUUCCAGAGCACAGCCUUCAGCUCCUGCCUGUCACCACAGACACGUCUGUGCUAAGCAUGGGGAAAUGUUCUGUUUUGCAUACUUGCUUGCUCUGAACGUGGGGGGAAGGAUCCUUGUCUUUGAGCCAUGUGUUCCAACCCUUCCUUCAGGUUCUGUUUCUCAGUGUGUGCAUACCAGAGGGGCAGGACGGGUGCUCACAGCCUCCCUGUAUCACCGAGGACAGCUGGACACCCAUCUCCUGGCACCCACCUCCCAGCCCUCCUGCUGCAGGCAGCUCCAGCAGAUGUUCCCCUCUGCCUGCCCUGCAGGCUGCAGAGCGGUGCCUGGCACACCCCAGUGAGGGAUCCCCCCGCCACCCAGUUCCUCCACAGCAAAACUGUAGUUAUUUUCACACUUGUGAAACCAGCCUUGCUUCUUGCAGGUCCGGCAGCCCGCAGGUAGGAUGCUGGUUUAGCCUUGUUGCCAUCACUUGCGUGCUCCUUCUCACAGCUUCCUGCUUUUCACUCAGUUUGGGUUUUGCAAACACUUCCCUGUCCUGUUCCACUGCUGUGGUGUCACCCUGUCCUCCCACCCUUACCCUAACCCCUCUGCGUGCCUCCUGCUGUCUCUUGCCACGUUCUAGCAUUGCCUUCAUUCCUGUUACACUGCUAAGCCUGUUGCAGCCUGGUGAGGGGUUCCCCCGACCUUCAGAGGAGUGCAGUCACUUCAGUGCUGUACUGUGCAGAGCAGCUCCCUCACAAGUAAGCAGCAUACGGUGAGAACAUCCUGCAGCUACUUCUUUUCAGGCCAGCAUUGCGCAACAUCGUGUCACUGAUUAACACAGAUAGGAGUAAAUGCAUUUUCAUAAAUGCAAAGCACCGUUGUUCAUUUAAAGGAAAGAAGGAGUCAUGGGGUGAUGUGACAUCCCUGUGUGUCAUCGGUAGUUCUGUUGUGUGCCUGCAGUUGCAGUGGAACCAGUUCAGCUGGAAUGAUGCUGGUCAUCCAUGGCUGAGGAUUUGGUUCCUGAGUGCAUGGAUGGUCCCACCCAGUUCUGCCCAUGCUGUAAACAGCAGGAAAAGCUGCAAAAAAGACGUACUUUGUGGAAACACAGAGGAAUGGCAUACACCUCAGCCUUUUGAAGUCUGUUGGCUUGUUUCUAGUUCACUAAAAAGGAGGUAAACAAUGACUUCGUUUCUUGAAAGAAAGGAGAGGGCUGGUAGGAGACUGGGCAUAGAUGGAGGCAGUGCUGGCACCCCUGGGCAGGGAAGGCAGGGUGGUAGCAAUGGGGGAGGAAAAGAAGCAGUGUGGCAUUAGAUGUGAUAUCUUGAGAGGUUUCUCAGCCUCCCUGCAUCCGGUCAGCUCAGCCAGGCUCCUACAUCUCUGCAGACACAUGCACCAGCUGCAGGAUUUCAUAAGUUGGUGGCAGUGCUGCCAACCCAAAUAAUCCUUCAGUGAGCCCUUUGUGUUACAGCACAGAGCAGUGAGAGUAGCUCUGUUUGCAUAUCACCGAUGGCAGCUGCCGACAGCUGGACGAAGUGCCAUCACUGCCACAGCACAGAGCCAUUCCCCUUCCUGUGGAAGAUGUAUACCCAAGAAUCUUCAGAAGAUGGCCACCGACUUUGUUGUCCCAAAGGAACGUUAUCCCAAAAGAUGUGGGUACCACUAACCCUGCUAGUCUGAAGAACUGUGGAUGUGUGGGAAAUAAAACAUAGCCCUGCAAGGAAGCGUUUCUUGCCACGGGCCUGGGCUGGAGAACGCUUCUCUCAUCCAAGGGAAUCCCUCCUGCUCAUCCCUGAGCUCCCAGGCUGCUGGCUGUGACCCAGGGAUGAUCUCCUCCUCCAGCAGUGUGGCUGUGGGACGUCUGGCCUUCAGGAAAUGAGCUUGUAAAGAAUUAACUGCAGGUCCUUGUGGAGAAAUACGGGUCCUCAUGGAGAAGUACAUCCUCCGUGUCCCUGCGUGCUCCUGACAGCUUGCCCAGGAACACCUGAGCUGUGCUCAGUGUUAGCCCAGCCACUUUACAGCUUGCAGCGUGGACAGGACUGGAGUUCUCUUCCAGCAAGAUGCUGCUGCUGCAGCAGCAGAUAUUUAAAGAUGUUGCGGUUGCACUGUGAACUUAACCUCCUGACAAAGUGGUUUUCAGCUGCUGGCAGGUUCUGUAGCAGCAGCAAAGGCCUCAUGUUCCCCACAUGCUGUAGUGCAGCCUGUGGGACUCCAAGAGCUGCCUUUUCAUCAGGAGAGGAUGUCCUUGUUUGCUGGGUUAUCAGAGCUGAUGGGCUUUUCUGACCUUAAGCGAGAUGAUCACAAGAGGCUGGGGGAGAUAAGUCAUUCACAUAGUCUGGUUUUGUUAAGCUUUAAAGUAUACAGGUUCCUCUUUGCCCAUUUUCUUUCCCAUUUUCUACUUGCAAGGAGCCAAAGCCAGCGGCAGCAUACAUCACCCUGUUGGGAUGCCGUUCACAGGGAUUGUCUGGGUGUUAAUUGCCUAGAUGUGGACACUCACCUGUGUGAAGACAACAAAGGAAAUGAUGACUGCAGCUGGACGUGCACUGGUUUUACAUGAACUGAAGCAUGGCAUGAGAAGCAAGGCUGGGGCUGCUCUCACCUGCCUGCUGCUGAAUGCAUUCCUCUGCUGAGCUGCCAGCAAGCCCAGUUCCAGCCCUCAUUCUGCUCCAACUGACAGGAGUAAGGUGCCAGCCUGCACCCACCACCUGCGAGGGCAGAAGGUGAGGAAAAUGUGUCUGACAGGCUCUGUGCUGAGCCCUUCCCUAGGCAGAAUCCUGGCCUCGAGUGAGAUUUUAUUUCCUUGUGCUGCAACCCAGUGACACAGAAUUUUCCAGCAAAACAAAAAGGGAUCCGCCUUUUAUUUUUGAUUUAGCUGGGGCUGUGUGUAGACUUGCAUGUGUAAUGUUGACUGCAAGUGCAAUUUGAGACAACCGAACCUUCCUAGCUGUUGCUGGGUAUAUGCAGUGUGCCAGCAGAGAUUAAAGAUCCUCCCCAUGGCUGUUGCUGCCCAGGGUCUGCCAUUUCUCCACCCAUUAAAUGUGCCACAUUUUUUAUUGAAUGCUUACACCACAACACUGAGAGGAAACAAAUACAAAACGGGCACAAUGAAUCAUGGCUCUCAUAGCCUCCGUUGGCCCCAGGAGGUGGAUCAGGCUGGCCAAGGAGGAAACGCAUUGGCUUAACUGCUGUUUUUUCUUCACUUUUGCCCAGAAAGUGUACCCAUGGGAAUGCGGACAGUAGGAAGCAUCUUGUUCUUAUGAGAUCCAGGAUGCAGCAGGGAGCUGGCACCGUGCCUGGGACAAACUCUGUUUCUUUAGGGCAAAAACUCAGCCAUUGGGGUACAUGAGUCAACAGUGGCAGCCUCCUAUGGGAGCAGUGUGGGACAUGGAGGCUAUGGGAGAUGUGUGGAUGUGCCGUGCCAGCAGGGAUGGUGGAGCUCGGUGUUGUGACCCACGGGGACAAGCUGGGCGGACUGGCGCUGCCAAAUGCAGAGGGAAGCAAGGGAGGUGAAUAAAGCUUUCAGUAUAUAACAGACUGCCACAGUGUACAACAAUAAACUGCUCUUCGUGCCCUUUGGGGACAGAGAAGAAAUUACACUAACAGAGAUUUUGGAAAGACGGUGGGAGAAGCUCUCCAAGCGCAGGGUGAUUCAGCCCUGGCAAAGGCGCGGGUUGCGACGUGCCCAUCAGCGGCUGCUGGCAGGGCUGGGCUGCGCGGGGCAGCGAGGGUGGACAAGGGGGAUUUGGGGUGGGAGGGUCUUCCGAACUCCCGUUUCCGUAGCUGCUUUCGCUGCCCUGAGGCCAGACCCUUCAGGAGAGGUUUCCUGCUGUUGCACGAAGUGCGGCCACCUGUGCAGGUCCACGCGGUGGCAGCUCGGUGUUCCUCGAGCUGUGAAAGCUUUGAACAAAGGAAUUGAAGAUAGGACUGAAUAUAAACAGGACUCGGGACCACCUCGAUAUGUCUCCCCAAGGAGUUCUCGAGGAAGGUUUUGGAGUUCGCUAAGAGCACGUUCCUCUUCCAGCAGGGCAGAUAAAGGAGCGCCUGCUCCCCCGCGGUCACCCUGCCAUUGCUGCGCUGCUGCGGCGCGGGAGGACGGCCCCAACAAAGGGCUGGCACGGCUUUGUUCCGCUAAGGCGCGCGGCACAAGGUAGGGAUGGAGCCAGGCGAGGCAGCUCCCUGCAUCCCCCGCAGCCGUCCCGGCUGCCCCCGGGCAGGGUGGGGAAGGUGGGUGAGGUUACCCGCGGAGCGGAUCGCUUCCGUUCAUCUUCCCGUUCUGUAACGCUUCCAAGAACCGAGGAAGGCUUCGCUCUUCCUUGGGUGGUCCCCUUCCUUCCACUGGCAGCGUGGGGUGGAAGUCUGGGAGCGGCGGGAGGGGGGUGAGCGGUGCCGGGAGGCGGGGGCGGUGCAGCGUGCCGGCCGU
rnacentral:lncRNA from 1 species